rnacentral:lncRNA from 14 species
CCAAUGGAUGCUUCCCAAAGGAUCCAUCCUAUAGGAUGCUUCCCAUAGGAUGCAUCCCAAUGAGUGGUACCCAAUGGAUGCUUCCUAUAGGAUGCUUCCUAAAGGAUGGUACCCAAGGAGUGGUACCCAAUGGAUGCAUCCCAAAGGAUUCCCAAAGGAUGCAUCCCAAUGGAUGCUUCCUAUAGGAUGCUUCCCAAUGGAUGCAUCCUAAAGGAUGGUACCCAAAGAGUGGUACCCAAAGGAUGCUUCCUAAGGGAUUCCUAUAGGAUGCUUCCCAAAGGAUGCUUCCUAAAGGAUGCUAUUCAAAGUGGUACCCAAAGAGUGGUACCCAAUGGAUGUAUCCUAAAGGAUGCUUCCCAAAGGCUGCAUCCUAAAGGAUGCUUCCUAUAGGAUGAGUCCUAAAGGAUGCUAUCCAAAGAGUGGUACCCAAAGGAUGACUUCCCAAAGGAUGCUUCCUAUAGGAUGGUACCCAAAGAGUGGUACCCAAUGGAUGCAUCCCAAAGGAUGCUUCCUAAAGGAUGCUUCCUAUAGGAUGCUAUCCAUAGAGUGGUACCCAAUGGAUGUAUCCCAAAGGAUGUAUCCCAAAGGAUGCUAUUCAAAGUGGUACCCAAAGAGUGGUACCCAAUGGAUGCUUCCCAAUGGAUGUAUCCUAAAGGAUCCUUCCUAUAGGAUGUUAUCCAAAGAGUGGUACCCAUAGGAUGAUUCCUAUAGGAUGCUUCCCAAAGGAUGUAACCCAAUGGAUGCAUCCCAAAGGAUGCUAUCCAAUAGGACGCUGGUUUCUUGUAUCCUCCAGGUUGGACUCAAUGGGAUAACCUGGGAAUAUGGGAAUCAUCUCCCAUCCCAACCCUCAUCCCCCAUCCCAACCCUCAUCCCCCAUCCCGACAUUCCCAACACCUUCAUCCCAGGAAAAACAGGGCUGGAAUUCCAUUGGAAAAGGCUGGAAUUCCAUAGGGAAAGGGCUGGAAUUCCAUAGGGAUCGAAGCCAAACGCCCUCAAUGGGAUACGAAGGAUGCUCUAUAUGGGAUAACAAAGGGAUAUGGGAUAACGGGAAUACCGGGAAUGCCGCCCCCAUUAGGAGCAAUGGGAUAGGGUCAUCUUGGCCAACCCUUCCCUAUGGAUCCUAUAGAGCAGCUGGAAUUCCAAUGGGAGCUGAUGGGAUUCCUGCCACUUGGUGGUGAACUUGGUGCCCCUCUUGUCAUAGUAGUGAUAGGGCAGAUCCCGUCGGGAAUGGGGGUGGAAUGGGAAGGGCCAGAACCCAUAAAGGUGGAUCCGGUCGCAUAGGGCCGAGGCCAAGGUGUACAUUAGGAUCCCGGUGCUCAGGCGCUUGGGGUUGAGCUGCUUGGCUUGCCAGUACCUGUGGAUAGAGGGAUAUAGGGUUGGGAUCAGUAUGGGGUCGGGAUGGGUUAGGGUUAUAG